UACGUAGGUGGCAAGCGUUGUCCGGAUUUAUUGGGUUUAAAGGGUGCGUAGGUGGCCCUGUAAGUCAGUGGUGAAAUAUCUCAGCUUAACUGAGAGGGUGCCAUUGAUACUGCAGGGCUUGAGUACAGAUGAGGUAGGCGGAAUUGACGGUGUAGCGGUGAAAUGCAUAGAUAUCGUCAAGAACACCGAUGGCGAAGGCGGCAUCCUGGACCGAGAUUGACACUGAUGAGCGAAAGCUAGGGGAGCAAACGGG
rnacentral:rRNA from 1 species